rnacentral:rRNA from 1 species
AGAAUCAACGCUGGCGGCGUGCCUAACACAUGCAAGUCGCACGAGAAAGUGGAGCAAUCCACGAGUAAAGUGGCGCACGGGUGAGUAACACGUGACUAACCUACCUUCGAGUGGGGGAUAACCUCGGGAAACCGAGGCUAAUACCGCAUAACAUCGUGAGAUCAAAGCAGUAAUGCGCUGGAAGAGGGGGUCGCGGCUGAUUAGCUAGUUGGCGGGGUAAUGGCCCACCAAGGCGAAGAUCGGUA